rnacentral:rRNA from 1 species
UGGGGAAUAUUGGACAAUGGGGGCAACCCUGAUCCAGCAAUGCCGCGUGUGUGAAGAAGGCCUUCGGGUUGUAAAGCACUUUAGGCCGGGAAGAAGGUGUGUAGUUUAAGAGAUGAUACAUUUGACUGUACCGGCAGAAUAAGCACCGGCUAACUCUGUGCCAGCAGCCGCGGUAAUACAGAGGGUGCAAGCGUUAAUCGGAGUUACUGGGCGUAAAGGGCGCGUAGGUGGUUUUUUAAGAUAGAGGUGAAAUCCCUGGGCUUAACCUAGGAACUGCCUCUAUGACUGAGGAACUGGAGUAUUGUAGAGGGUAGUGGAAUUUCCGGUGUAGCGGUGAAAUGCGUAGAGAUCGGAAGGAACACCAGUGGCGAAGGCGGCUACCUGGACAAAUACUGACACUGAGGCGCGAGAGCGUGGGUAGCAAACAG